UAAACAAAAUCUCUUUCCUUCUUACAUUUAAAAGUCUUCUAUCUUUAAAUUGUUCUCCUACAACAAGUAUCAAAAUUGUUUUAGAUGGCUAGGCUCAAAUUCCAGUUGUGGCAUUCUUCUUCUUCCUUCCUUCCUCCUUUUAAAAAGAAAAUCCUUAUUAACAUGUCUGGCUCUGCCACUUUCCAUAACUCACCAGACUCCGAAAAUGUCUCAAAGCAAAGUAGACAAAGAAAAUUAUAGAAAAUCCGUAUAACUAAUUUCUUGGAAAAAUCGAAAACCUUCAUAACUACUCAUAGGUCAAAAGAGAGACACGAGCUGCUAGAACUACCUAAUAUAUAUAAAUGGAGGAAAAUUAUUUGAAGAUGUUAGAUAAGCAUGUGCGUAAUUAAUUGAGAUAUUGUUUUACGCAUGAUGACUGCUUAUUAGGUUACAUAGUACGAUGAAUGCGCACCUACAUUUGAAUUGAAAGUGAUAACUAUAUGUAAUAUUUUCACAUUUUUCUUUGAUUUUUUGUGUCCCUCUCAAGACACCCUAACGUGUUUGGAUAACAAUGUAAUGCUCUGGUGCACUUUGUAUAAUGCCGUGGGUUUAUAAAAAGAUAAAGUCUGUGUACACAUUAUUUUCUUCA
rnacentral:lncRNA from 1 species